GACGAACCGUGCGAACGUUGUUCGGAAUCACUGGGCUUAAAGGGCGCGUAGGCGGUCUGUCAAGUCCGGGGUGAAAGCCCCCAGCCCAACUGGGGAAGUGCCUCGGAUACUGGCGGACUCGAGGGAGGCAGGGGUCGUGGGAACUUCCGGUGGAGCGGUGAAAUGCGUUGAUAUCGGAAGGAACGCCGGUGGCGAAAGCGCACGACUGGUCCUCUUCUGACGCUGAGGCGCGAAAGCCAGGGGAGCAAACGGG
rnacentral:rRNA from 1 species